GUGAAUCAUCGAAUUUUUGAACGCAAAUUGCACUCUCUUCGGAGAGGAUGCCUGUUUGAGGUUCAGCGUAAAAAAAAUUGACAUAGGCGCUGUUGCUGUGUGGCGUUCGUCGGGAAUUGGGUUAUCUUAAACCUUUUGGUUUUAAGCGGCUUAAAAUUUUCUUUACGAUUCCACUAACGUUUCUAAGAUUGACUUAUACUUUUAAGGUAUCGAGCUUUAUUAUACGUGUCCGGUA
rnacentral:misc_RNA from 1 species